ACUCAAGCAAUUUAAAGGGGCUAUUAAGGAAGACAAGCAAAUUUAUAAAAAAGGAGGUUAAUCAUACCAAAAGCCACAUAUUAAUAAAUAAAAAAUGUGGCAAUCCUAAGGGAAACCUUAAUAUAAGUACUUCCCGAACCAAAACAUUGUAGUAGGGAAAGGAAAGUAAAUCAACCGAGACUCCGAAAGUAAUGGUGAGUGAAAUCGGACCAGCCUAUCAAUAAUUUAAAAACUGAAAUUUCUUUCGAAUAAGAUUCCAUUUUCAAGUGGAACCGUCCGAAGUAAGGCUUCGCGCGGGAGCCGUAGAAGGUGUUAGCCCUGUAGGGGUUUAAAUUAUUGUAUAACAAGUACGAUGAGAGAUAACUUGUCGGAAUAAAGGGGAACCAUCCUCUAAGGGCUAAGUAUUAUAAAUUUAGCGAUAGUGAACAUUACUGUAAAGGAAAGUUGAAAAGAAAGUAGAUGACUAGUGAAAAGAUCCUGAAUUAGUAGCUCUAUAAGCAGUCGGAAUUUAAUUUAAAUUAGAUUGAAUGACGGCGUACCUUUUGCAUAAUGGGUCAGCAUGUUAAUAUGAGUAGCGAGGUUUAAAGCCCUAGCGAAAGCGACUGUACCAAUAUAAUAUAAAGUAUAUAGGUAACGGGAUUAUGUUACUGAUAUUAGACCCGAAACGAGGUGAUCUUUCCAUGGCCAGAUUAUAAUGGAUCGAACGGAUGAAUGUUGCAAAAUUCUCCGAUGAGCUGUGGAAAGGGGUAAGCCUAAAUUGCCCAGUAAAUAAGAAAUUAUUUAUAAUUUACCAACUCAUAACGGUGAAACCUAAAGUUUAAAGUUUUAAACCAUGGCAAUACCGUGGGAAGUCGUAAUGAAGUAGAAACACAGUAACUAAAAUUUUAGUUAUUUUAAUUUAUCUAAGGAUAAGUUCUCAUUAUUGACCCUGUAACGACUGAUUCGAAAGAUGAGACGUAGAAAACUGGUAGUCCAGUCUUGUUCUUUAAAUAAGGACAUGUCUAUGUGACACGUUGGCACUUUACAGUUUCAACUUGCUAUGUAAAUUAGAUUUUAAUUUAAGCAAAAAAAAUAAACCAUACUCCUCUACUUUUCCCCGGACACCUUUAAGUAGGCAGAUUUAAGUUCGAAUUAUUUUUAUUUAAAAAUAAUAAUAAAUUAAAUUCUGAGUUUGGGCUCUAGGUUUCGUCUUAUGCUAUUAGGAGCUGCGUUUUUUUAGAAAAUAAAAAAAUCAAUAGCUUUUAAUAUUCAUAGAAGAUGUGAUUAUAUUAGCGGGUCAGUCCCUAAUAUGAUAUACCUUUAAAAUAGUAGUCUUAUAAACUUUUAUACACUUAAAAUAAUGAAAUAUAUUAAUAUUACAAAAUUUUGGAUUUCAGGGUUUACUCAAGCAGAUGGAUCUUUUGUAGUCGGCUUUGAAAAAAGAAAUCAAGGUUUAAUACCUUACCGACCGCGACCUAUGUUUGUUUUAUCACAACAUGUGAGAGAGGAAAAUUUAUUUCGGGAAAUUCAAAAACAUUUAAAUGUUGGCCGAAUUCAAAUAACUCGAAACGAGGUAAACUUUAUAGUUUCUUCUUUAGAAGAAAUAACUAAUGUAAUUAUUCCUCUGUUUGAUAAACAUCCUGUUAGAGAUGGAAAAUAUCGAUCAUUUUUAGUUUUCAAAAAAGUAGUAGAAAUGAUGAACCAAAAAGAGCAUACAACUUUACAAGGUUUUAUGACUAUUUUGGAGUUAUCUUAUUUUACACAUAACACAUCAAAUCGAACAUUGGAAAGUAAACAAGAGAUUUUGACAAACCUUAAAAAUAAAUUUAAAUUUUUACCUACUAUUUCUGAAGAAUUUUUAUUAAAUUCUUUAGCGGAGUCUGUGUAAGGAUUUAUCCUUAAACAGACUAAAAUUCGUCUUCUGCCAUGCGGUCCCUUAUCAGGGACCACACGGUGGCGACACCUUUGAGGUUUUAAAUUGUGGAUGGUGAAGCGGCAAACAAAGUAAAUUUCUUCGAAGAGUAAGGCAAAAUCAAAUAAAAGAGAUGCAAACAUCAUUUUUCUCUAUUUUAUUUGUAGCCAUUGUGCUACCUUCUCUUCGUAUAUCUCCUCAGGUCUUAAAUCGUACAUGGUUGGUUACCAUGUCAGCUAUUGUUUUAUUGCAUACCGCGGUCAUAGCAUCUUAUGCCGUAUAUAUUCAGUCAAUUGGAUCAGGUAUGAAUAUCUUUAGUGAUGUAUUCACCAAUUUUCUCUUUACCAAAUCUUCGGGCCUUCCCAUUAUCAAAGAUAAUGGGCAAGGGAUUGGGUUAGAGGAAAUUUCUCUUCUGUUUUUGUCUUUAGUUCCUGUUAAACCUAAACGACUAAGCAGUUUAGAAAGACAACAAUUUACUUUGUCGGAUCUUUUAAACCAAAUUUUAGUAGGACUCAUGUUANNNNNNNNNNNNNNNNNNNNNNNNNUUUAUAAAUUUCCACCCCUUGUUCUUUGAUCUGGUAGUUUUAAUUUUUCUUUCAAAUCAUCUAGACGGCGAGUAGUUCCCAAUUUUACGGUAACUAUGGGUAAAGGGGAUGAACAAGUUCUUCAUGAUCUUGUGAAAUUUUUCGAUUGUGGAAAAGUUUACCCUUUACCAAGUCAAUCUAGUCGAUUCCAGAUAGAAAAUGUAAAUGAUUUAUUAGAAAAAGUAUGUCCUUUCUUUGAAACCAAUAGUUUAAUUACUAUGAAACAAGAGCACUUUAUCACUUCAGUGGAAGCAUGGAAACUGUUAGCUAAUCAUUCUUUAACCGAUGAUAUAUUAAUACAGCUAGUAGAUCUUGUUUACAACAUGAAUCAAGGUGGUAAAUCUCGAAAACUAACUAGAAAACAAUAUUUAGCCAAAUUUAUCCAAAAUUCAACAACAUAAUCUGGGGAUUCGAUUCUUUGAACCCCUUUGCUAAAAAUAAAAAUUUAAUUUGCUAAGGCAAGAGUAAAGUUGAAGGUAUAGUCUGAGCCUUAAUGAAAAUUAAGGAUUAACUUGGAAAGGCCAUUCUGACCUCGAGAUAGCUGAUAUUCCACGAAACAUUUUUUAGAAUGACACUUACGAUUGUUUUUUUUUCAUAAGAUUUAUGCAGGUACAGCACUAGGAAUUCCAUACUCUGUGUUUUCGACACAGGUUAAAUUGGGGGGUGUUGCAACUCUACCAUUGGAAAUUAAUCUCGGAAUGACAUAAAUUGAUAGUAAGUAUUCAGACUGUUCAUGAUAAGGUGGGCAGUCAAAACGGAAACAGCCGUGAGCAUGUAUUAAGGUCCCAAAAUGAUUAUUAAGUGAAACAAAGGAAGUUACUCUCUAAAUACAGCUAUAAAGUGAGCUUGGCAGUCGCUAUCUUUUAAUGACCGUGUAACAACGCAGUAGUCUAAUGGAGUUUAGCACCGAAAAUUUAACGGGUCUAGAUAAUCUACCGAAAUCAUGCCGCUUUGACAUAUUACGUCCCUGGUUGUAGUAUAAUAUGUCCAAGUUGGGUAGUGGAACAUUCAGAACGGAUGAAGGACAGUGUUUCAUUGUUUGGACGUAACUGAAGAGAUAAUGCUGACAUGAGUAACUAGAAAGAAGUUAUAAUACUUCUCGCCGAAUACGAAAGGGUUGUCCGGUAAAGUUAAACUGCCGGACGUUAUAGCGGCCUCUAAGCUACAAAACCAAUGUUUUGUGUGAUGAGUUUUUCACAGAAAGUCUUUUAUUUUGAAAAAUAAUAGACCAGGAAAAGAAUGUGAAUGUUCUACCGCACUGCGGCCUACAGAACACUAACUACCGUACCCUAAACCGACACAGGUUCGUUGGUAGAGAAUACUCAGGCGUAGAGAUAAUGCUUGUAAAGGAACUCGGCAAGUUGUCCUGCUGAGCGUUUUGGGAAGACGCUCGCGUGGGUGAAACUAUCAAACUCCGGGGACACCCUAAAGCAUAUGGUACCAAGCUAUAGUCGAAAGGCUAUAAGUGGCUGGAGUAA
rnacentral:rRNA from 1 species